rnacentral:rRNA from 1 species
UUGAACGCUGGCGGCAGGCCUAACACCUGCAAGUCGAACGGUAACAGGGAUCAGCUUGCUGAUUCGCUGACGAGUGGCGGCCGGGUGAGUAAUGUCUGGGAAACUGCCUGAUGGAGGGGGAUAACUACUGGAAACGGUAGCUAAUACCGCAUAACGUCGCAAGACCAAAGAGGGGGACCUUCGGGCCUCUUGCCAUCGGAUGUGCCCAGAUGGGAUUAGCUAGUAGGUGGGGUAACGGCUCACCUAGGCGACGAUCCCUAGCUGGUCUGAGAGGAUGACCAGCCACACUGGAACUGAGACACGGUCCAGACUCCUACGGGAGGCAGCAGUGGGGAAUAUUGCACAAUGGGCGCAAGCCUGAUGCAGCCAUGCCGCGUGUAUGAAGAAGGCCUUCGGGUUGUAAAGUACUUUCAGCGGGGAGGAAGGGAGUAAAGUUAAUACCUUUGCUCAUUGACGUUACCCGCAGAAGAAGCACCGGCUAACUCCGUG